rnacentral:ncRNA from 1 species
GGCAGCUGCCCCAAAAGGGGGUGUUAGCAUGCAUGAUUUUCUCACAUUGGUUGUCGCACCAUUAAUAGUGGUUCUGGUGACAAAACUAGUCGAUUAUUGGUUAGAUGAUCGAGACGACAACUAGACGCAGCUGUCAGUCUAACCCACGCGCUGGCCGUCGCAUCCAGCGAAA